UCUCGAUAGCGUUAAAGUUAACUCAAAUUUGUAUGGAGUUGGAACGUAUGUCUACGUUUGCCGCUAAGGUUUGUUCCCGCUGCAUAUAAAUUUGACAUAACUUUUACGCUAUCGA
rnacentral:pre_miRNA from 9 species